rnacentral:other from 1 species
GCUUAAGUGUGAUCUUGCUCGUUAACGACAACUUUCUGACUUUAAAGUUGACGAGUAUUGCUGCUUGAGCGAUGUGGUAUUGUAUAUACAAUUUACUACCAGGGUACCACGUUGGCAGCCCCAACAAAACCCAGGUACAGUCAGUGCAGCAAAGUCGAUUAAGUUGUCACUUUGCCUAAGAAAUUAACUUGCUGAAAUGAAA